CGAGACCAUACAAGCGGAUCGUUACAGAACGUCCAGUCCUUGGAAAGCUGCAUUAUCAGAAUAAUUGUGCAAAACUGUGUUAAUUGUGUCUGAACUCCAGUAUGUGGUUUAUUCAACUCUUAUUCUUGUAUGGAUCAAGGACUUCCUAAAAGACAGACCUCAACAUGUUAAAAUCUUUAGAUUUAAGUUUAACAGUAGUGUUAGUAGGGUUACACGGGGUUGUGUUCUAUCAUCCAUUUUAUUUUCCAUAUAUAUACAAAUGAGAUUAAGUGUGAUGUCAAUUGUACACUGAAAAAUUUGCUGUAAUUAUGCAGCUGGUUGCCAGUAACUUGAAAAUGUUUCAUGUUCAUUUAACUUUUUAACAAACUGUUGCCAGUAAAUAACAUAAAUGUAAAAUCUACAGUAAGUUACUGGCAGCUAGUUGCCACACUGUAAAAGAAUUGCUGUAAUUAUGGAGCUGGUUGCCAGUAACUUACUGUAGAAGAUAAAGAUUGAAAAUGUUUCAUGUUCAUUAAACAAACUGUUGCUAGUAAAUAACAUACAUGGAAAAUCUACAGUAAAUUACUGGGAGCUAGUUGCCACACUGUAAAAAAAUUGCUGUAAUUAUGCAGCUGGUUGCCAGUAACUUACUGUAGAAGAUAAAGAUUGAAAAUGUUUCAUGUUCAUUAAACAAACUGUUGCUAGUAAAUAACAUACAUGUAAAAUCUACAGUAAGUUACUGGCAGCUAGUUGCCAGUAAUA